rnacentral:tRNA from 2 species
GCCGCCAUAGCUCAGUUGGUAGAGCGACGCUUUCGUAAAGCGUAGGUCCCGCGUUCGAGUCGCGGUGGCGGCU